GUGGAUGCUAGUUUCUAAGGUUAAGCCAUGCAUGUUUUAAGAAGCGAAAUAUAUUGCGGAAAGAUAGACGGCUCAGUAAUACUGCGAUGAUUUGAUUGAUGUAUAGUACAGUAACUACGGGAAACUGUAGGUAAUGGCUUGUAGUGCAUGUAUGGUUGUAUGUAUGUGUAUGUGUCGAGUAAGUUGCAGACCUAUCAACUGGUAGUUAGGGUAAUGGCCUAACUAGGUAUUGACGGGAGACGGGGGAUUAGGGUUUGAUUCCGGAGAGGGAGCCUGAGAGAUGGCUACUACGUCCAAGGAUGGCAGCAGGCGCGAAACUUGCCUAAUCUUUUGUAAUAGGAGGCAGUGAUGAAACGUGAUAUUAUUUAUGAUGUAUUUUAAAAGAAUAUGUUAGUAUUGGAGGGCAAGUCGG
rnacentral:rRNA from 1 species